UACGUAGGGAGCAAGCGUUGUCCGGAAUCAUUGGGCGUAAAGAGCGUGUAGGCGGCCAGGUAGGUCGGUUGUGAAAACUGGAGGCUCAACCUUCAGAGGUCGACCGAAACCAUCUGGCUAGAGUCCGGGAGAGGAGAGUGGAAUUCCUGGUGUAGCGGUGAAAUGCGCAGAUAUCAGGAAGAACACCAAUGGCGAAAGCAGCUUUCUGGGACGGUACUGACGCUGAGACGCGAAAGCGUGGGGAGCGAACAGG
rnacentral:rRNA from 1 species